UGGUACACCGUAGCUGAAGUAUAAAGGCUGCGUCAGCGGAAGUUCCGCCCUCUUCAUCCCCUCUAUUGCAGGCUGUGUUUCAGUCCGCUAACACGGCAAAAUGCCACGCAAAAUUGAAGAAAUCAAAGAUUUCCUUCUUACAGCAAGGAGGAAGGAUGCCAAGUCUGUUAAAAUCAAGAAGAACAAGGACAAUGUCAAGUUUAAGGUGCGUUGCAGCCGGUAUCUGUACACUCUCGUCAUCAUAGACAAGGAAAAGGCAGAGAAGCUGAAGCAGUCCCUGCCUCCAGGUCUGGCUGUGAAGGAGCUCAAGUAGAAGACCUACUGUGUAUAGAAAAUUGUAAUAAAAAGAGGAAAACA